rnacentral:rRNA from 1 species
GGAAACGACUGCUAAUACCGCAUAACACUUUAGUACCGCAUGGUACAGAAGUCAAAGCUUAAUGUGCUGAGAGAUGGUCUCGCGUCUGAUUAGCUAGAUGGCGGGUAACGGCCCACCAUGGCGACGAUCAGUAGCCGGUCUGAGAGGAUGAACGGCCACAUUGGGACUGAGAUACGGCCCAGACUCCUACGGGAGGCAGCAGUGGGGAAUAUUGGGCAAUGGGGGAAACCCUGACCCAGCAACGCCGCGUGGAGGAAGAAGGCCUUCGGGUUGUAAACUUCUUUUAGCAGGGACGAAGAACGUGACGGUACCUGCAGAAAAAGCAACGGCUAACUACGUG